rnacentral:lncRNA from 1 species
UCCAACCCUUAUUGCCUAAUAUUUUAGCCCCACGAUUAUUAAAUAAUGAACUUAUGCUAAUUUUUUUCUUAAAUUAACUUUUUCAAAAAAUAUAUAUAGACUAUCAUAAAUUAAUUUUAUGAACAUUUUAAUCUAAAAACAUUUAAAUUUUGAUAAAUAUUGAAAAAUCACUAAAUUUUCCACAAAGCAAGCCUUCAACUUUCACCAAUCUUUCAACUUUCACCAAACUUUCAACUUUCAACAAUCAUAAAGUGCAUACUUUGUUGAUAAUCUUCCACCGAUCGUAAACACCACCAACGUCCCUCCCGUCGCCGUUGCAGUUUUCUUGAAACUUUGCAAUGAUUUUAUCCCACAAAACCUUUUUAUUUUGAUUUGUGCCAAUUGCACCAUCUUCGUUAAUAGAAACCCAUGUCAAACAUAAAGCAACAUCUUCCUCACAGGUCCAAUUACGACCUCUAAUAUGCUCUCUUGCCAUGUUGAACAAUUUGGAAAUGGAAAGAAAUGGUAGAAAGAUAAAUUGGAAGAAUUGUAGGAGAAAUUUGAGUUUUGUGUGGAUGUUUGAACAAAUACACAGGUAUUUAUAGAGUUUUUGGGUAAAUUUUGAUUUAAAUAAUUUCUUUUAAUUAUUUUAGCCGUUGGAUUUAAAUUUGGGCCGUUAAAUCUUUUUUUUACCGUUAGAUUUGAUUAUAUUCGAUAUCAGCCGUUGGAUUCAAUGUAUUUUAAAAUAACAUUUUUUUAAAAUAAAAUUUGAAUAUGGACCAUUGGAUCAACCAACUGUCCUUAAAUUUCUGUUGUUGGAUGCGGAAAAGAGUCGUUAGGCUCAAGGAUGUGGUCGACAACGGCCAUGACAGUGUGCCCCUUGCUGUCAGG